AAGCUUUGAAGAGAGAAAUACGGUAGCCUCUUGGACAAGAAGUGUUUUAAUAAAGAUAUAAUACUAGGUGCAAUUGGGAGCAGUGAAAUGCUGCAACAAGGACACAUGCAUUUUACAACAAAACAAAAGUGGCUGCUGUCGUGCACGUGGUGGGAAGAAAAGCAUGCAUAGUGACUGUGCUGCCAGAGGGAAAUACGAGCUGAAAGGUCUUCAUUUUCUAGAACCACUUUAUCUGCAUUAACAGCUGCCAAAGAUGGCGUCUGACCUACAGCAACAUCGCACUGAGUGCCUGGUUGUUAGGCACUCAAAUCAAGACUACUCAAUAAAACCGACCUUAUGAAUUUUUGGAGAA